CACAGAGACACAGACACAAGAGGGGAGGACAACAUGUAAUGACAGAUGCAGAAACUGGACUGUCACAGCCGCAGCCUCGGAACGCCGAGGAUGGCUGGCAAACCACCAGGAGCUGGGAGGAGCUAAGGAAGAAUCCUUCCUACAGCUUUCAGAGGGAGCACGGCCCUGCUGACACCGAGAUUUCAGACCUGCAGUCUCCAGAACUGUGAGAGAUAACAAUUCUGUUGUUUUAAGGCCCUUGGUUCAUGGUACUUUGUUACGACAACUCCAGGAAACUACAUAUGGUAUCAGUGUUAUUCCACUUUCUCAGGUCUACCCAUCAUCCUUGUAGCAAAAUUAAAUCAUUUGUUUGCACACCAGUGUUGAUUUCAGAAGUCCUAGAGAAUGGAGGCAAUGUUUUGCCAUCUUUGUAUUCCUGGCACACAGUGGAGGUUAAUUAAUACUUUUUGCAAUCACACAUGUGGGACUGACAAUGCACACCACCACUAACUUUCUUGAUUCUCAGAUUAUUUUGUCAUUUUCGGAGCUUUAGUCUAAUCGUUUAGCUCUUUCUCCAGUGUAUGGAGGCUGCCAGGUUAAUUUGGACUGUACAGCAUCCUUUUUACGAAGACCAAACUUUACAAAUACAAUUGAAAAACCUCGGACCGUGACAGCAAAAAGUUCACCGGUCUGCCUUACUCAUCACAAGCUGCUUAUAAUUUGCCAAAGUGAUGUUUUGGACCUGGGAAAGCAAAAUGUUUCCCCUCCCUGGAUCAUCACCUGUCUUGAACAUUUGUUUUUUAAAGAAAUGUACUUGCUCCAAAUGGAAAUCUGCUGAGUUAUAUUUUUUUAAUAGAGAGUCUCAAAUUUUAUAAAUGGAUUCGAAUUUACCAUACAGAAUAAGAUAUUGCAGAAGUUGUUAGCAUGUUGAUGCACUAAAGGACCUGAUUUUUUAUAAUAUUCUAACUUACACAUAAAAAAGAAAUGGGCUCCCACCUUGGCAGGCUCCAGGGCUCCUUCAGGGCCUGUCCGUCUGCCCCAAAGGCCUUGCAUAAAGCUUCUGUCCAGUCUCCUGCUGCCCGGAUGUGCACACUGAAGAAGUCCUCCUGGGGAGCGGAGGUGAGGGUGAAGGGGUGCCACUCUAGCGAGGAUAUGGACGGGCACUGGAUCAAGACGUACUGCCCCGGUGCCAUUUUAAAGUCACGCUUUUUCAUGUGAAGUUCCAGCACUCCAGAUGGAUGGCUUACCACCUAAAUCACAGCAAGAGAGGUGCUGGUUCUUUCACUCAGGUUAAAUACGAAGACAAUGGCCUUCAUUCCAUCAAAGGUUUUAAAAUGUUUAUAUCAACUUUUCUGAGGUAGGAUUGACAUAGACCAUUCAUUAUGAGUUUUCAAGAAUCGUUCCAACCCGGACAUGAAAGUGAUGGCAACUCCAGCACGAACGGCAUUGACCUCCUUCAGCGCGCUAGAAAAGGAAACUAAGGCUCAGCAAGAUGAAACAAAUUGUCCAGGGUCACAAAGGUGAUAAACAAGGUGCACAGUGAAGACAUGAACUGGUCUUGACCACCCAGCCUGUGCUUUUCCCAUGUUAUCAUGCUUCUUUCUGUCCAAUGCUGACAUUAGAAAGGGUUUCCCAUAACAGAGCUGAAGAAACUAAUGAAGUAGUAUAAGAAAACCCAAGAUGCUUUGCGAAAGGUAGCUCCUGAGGGAAUAUAUUGAAAAUUAUUCUUUCCAGUUUUUUUACGUACUUUAAAAUUCAUGUCUUAAAUGUUCCUUUGCUCCAGCUACCUCUAUUUUGUUUUCUUUUCACAGGUAGAAAAUAAAAAUUAGAAUAUCUUAUUUUACUUAUCUCAGGAAUUCUCAGAGAGGAUACUGCUUGUGCCCAUUUUGUUCGUCUAAAUGUUUUACUUCCUCUUAGAUCAGACCCUAAUUUUACUGUGAUCUUGGCUUGGAACCAAAGGUAUCCCAGCUACCAAAUCCAGGACUGUUGGGACUUGAUAGAUACCAGGAGAGAUACUGAUUUUGUUCUUUUUCAGACAUUAUAUUUCCUAUUCUUCCCUUUAUACAUUUUAGUUAUUUUAAUAUGAAUAGCCAUGCUAUAUUUACAGUGACGGUUGCUUCAAGUAUGUGAUAAAAUAGAGAUAUGGUUUUAUUUUCCUCUUUCUUAGUCAUCAAAAUCAUAUCAUGUUACUAGAUUUGAUAUGAGCAUGUAGGAGAAACAAUACUGAAGAGGAUACUUCUCAGUUACUUAACUUCUUUCAGUCCCUGUUUUCUCAUCUGUAAAAUGUGUGGACUGGACUAAACCUUGAUGUCUAGGCUCCCUUCCAGCUGUCUGGCUCCUGUGUCUCCGUCUGAAGCUAAUUGGGAGUAUCUGUCAAUCUAAAAGGGAGCUGGAGUCCAAUACGAGAGCAAUGCAAACAUGAAACUUAUGUUUCAAUAUGUUUUCAAAGUCAACACUGUCUCAAAGGGGUUUCUUAAGUGUUACGGCAAAUCCAGUGUCACCAACUACACAGGUUCCUUCUUCCUGGUGCCUCUGGGGACUUUCUGCCAAAGCCCUUGGAAGAGCCCUAGGUACGCAUUUCCAGAUCCCACCUUAAUGCCAGACGAAAAGAUGCUGUGACUGGGUCUUCCCACAAUUUUAUUUUCUUACCAAAGUACUUUUACAGUUAAAAGAGAGCCACAAUCUUAGACACACUACAAAUGCACAUUUCAUUGGUGUCUGAACUUCUGAGCUCACAUAAGGAGAUUUUAUUGAAGAGUGAACAAAAAAACCAUAAAGGCUACAAUUAGAGCCAGUUGCCCUGAGAAAGUUCCUUUCCCUUCUUUCUUUCCUUCUUUUUCUUUUGCAGGAGAUCAAAGGGAGUGUGAUUGAGGGAGAAUCUUGGAAGUGUGGUCAGUUCUUGCUAUCUUUCUGCCUGCCUGUCAGUGAUAACAGUCAUUCUGAAGUUAGUCACCUCCUAAUUAAGCAGCUUUUAGAAAGAAGGAUGCUGGGACAAAUCCUGGCUGCGCUUCUUGAUUCUGCAUUUCAGAAUCUGGCCCCAAACUUUCAAGUGUGUGGUCUGAUUUCUGCAAGAACACACAUAUUCUCUGGCAUCCUGUGCAUGCCACUCGUUUGUAAAUCCCAUUAAAUCAUGUUAUAGGCAGGACAGGGUAGAGAGCCUCCUUGGACCUCCCCGUGCCUCAAGCAGAACUAGUAGCCAUUCCUUUGGGAUCAAGUCCUGAAGAGUUUGGGCCUCUGGGACUGUUCUCUGUGGUGAGUCCUCCAAAUCACUUUUUCUUAGCACCCCGAUUCUGAGGUCGUUUCUCUCAACCUGUCUGUGUUGUGUUUCUUGAGGUUUAAUCAGCAACUCAUCAGGAGCUACAUGUGGGUCACUGUCCGCCCUGGAACCUAGCGGAUGCAAGCUGCAGAAUUUGCCAGAGAGAGCUGCCUUGGUCUCUAUUCACAGACCUCUUGAAGGAAGCUCGGGCUCAAAGUACUACUAUUCCAUUGGAAGCGUCUUCAAGGUCUACUGUGGACCAGAGAGCCCAGAAAGACCUGCAUUAAUAAGAACGGAGAAGCUGCGAAACUAUGAUUUUUAUACCAGUGAGGUUACAGGGCUCUGAAAAUGAUUUAUUAGUGGCUGAAGAAGGCUCCAGCAGCUCUCAUCAUAGGCAGGCAUGCAGGAAGGCAGGAAGCCAAAGGAAGAAGAGUUCCUGUCACUGCAUUUUCGGUGAUGCCCUUGAUUAUGGAUACCAUUGUCUGCCUCUUCCCUCCUCCACCCCAGCCUACUUUCACAAGGCUCUAAUUACAUCCUUUAAUGAUUUGACCAAUUAAAGCCUGCAGUUCAACUUACAGGGGAAUGGAUGAGAAAUUAGAGGCUGGCACGCAAACCUCGAUGUGGACGCACUUCUUCCAAGGUUACACACCUCUAUUAAGCCAGUCGGCUAUUUGAAAAGCAGCAUCAUGGGCGAUGCUAAUAAAAUAAGCACGGGGACAUUUUCAGCUGCUCCCAAGUGAAUACACCGGAAGGACAAAAUGUGAAAAGCAAAGGUAUAUCUAUGAAACCAGGGCUUAGCAUUUUUUUUUUUCUUCUAAAAGCACCGUUGCCAGCCACGUUUUGUAGUUAAUGUGAAAUGUAGUAAUUGCUUUGUCAGGGUCUGGGAGAAGCAGAGAGCGAUCUCCCCACCUUCCCGCCUUUGCCUGGAAUGGAAACAACCGCAGCGCCGCUGGUUGCCAUGGAGGUGGGAGAAGAGGGGCGCUCUGCUCUCAAAAGCAGUCAGACCCUGCUGGCACAGCCCCGGGAGAUGUUUGGGAGCUUGGCAAACAGUGGGGACUCAAGCAGAAGAGGGCCAGAGAGAAUACCUGAUUCUCUCCAGGGAUCUGUGAGGGAAAGACGGAGGAGAAAGAGCUGCCUGCUUUGUCUUGUCAUAGCAGAAUGCGAACUGAUUACCUUGGAUGACUGAUGUCAUUCUGAACCUCUUCACUGCCCACUCUAUCUUUUGUCCACCCCAAACUGCUCCCGGUUCCCUGGGAACUCCCGCACUCUCAUAUCUUGUCUCUUUUUCCAGGAAUUCUCUUGAUCUCUUUUGCCUGCUAGCUGACUUCUCUGCUCAUCCUCAGGUUUGACCAAUUUGUUCAGGACCUAUUGUGUGCCGGGACCAGGAAAGCCAAGAGGCAUAAGGCACAGUCGCAAAUUUUAAGGUGAUGAGAGUCUGAGAAAUAGUACUAUAGGGCAGGAGGUGCGGCUGGACCCGCAGGUGAGGAGGGCCAACAGCCCAGACCUGGAGGCUCAGAGGAAAGCUGGCCAGGCAGCUGAGUCCUGGGUACAGCAACCACUUACCCAACGAAGAAGGAGAGGAUAAGCAUUUUGGACAAAGGGAAUACCAAGAGCAAAGGCACAGACUGCUCAGGGACCGCCGGGAGCUAGGGAAAAGCAAAGGGGUGCGGUGAGAGGUGAGGGGAAGCACCAGUGGCCGGGGCUUGACGAGCGGAGCCUGCUGGCCCUGUUAAACCUGGACCUGAUUCUCUUUGCAAUAGCCACAGUGAAUGACCUUGAAGUCUGUCGGUUUCCUAGAGGUCCACUCCUGACAACUGGUCUGCGCAUCUUAUAAGGAUGGAUAGAUUGGAUUAUUGUUCUUUUAAUUUCACAGAGGAGGACAUGAGGAACUUAUCCGAGAUCACACAACCCAUCACUAGCAGGGGUAUAAAAUAACUUGGUUAUCUGAUUCUAGUCAACUGCUGUCCCUAUGAAUUAUACUCCAUCCUGAAAACAUUACUGACUGUACCAGUUUCAGAUGGUUACAGCUCCUAUCAGGGUAUCUUGCACAUGGGAGGGAGAUAUUCAGUACACAUCACUGAUGCAGGUAUACUAUUGAUAUAUGAUUCCAGAUGAAGAACUAUACAUACACAAAGGUUUAAGGAGAAACCUAUUGUAUAAUACAUAUUUUCCUUUAUUCUUUGAUUUCUUUUUUGAUUGUUUUGAUGCUGUGGGUUUUUUUGUUCCUUCUCUCUGUAAUAUCUUUGUAACUUUCUCUUAGAGUCCAAUUCUGCCUUAAAGCUAUUGCAGAGUGAUCAUAUUCUUCCUGCCAUUGUACUGUGUU